rnacentral:rRNA from 1 species
UACGUAGGGUGCGAGCGUUAAUCGGAAUUACUGGGCGUAAAGGGUACGCAGGCGGUUAUAUAAGACAGAUGUGAAAUCCCCGGGCUCAACCUGGGAACUGCGUUUGUGACUGUAUGACUAGAGUACGGUAGAGAGGGGUGGAAUUCCUGGUGUAGCAGUGAAAUGCGUAGAUAUCAGGAGGAACAUCGAUGGCGAAGGCAGCCCCUUGGACCUGUACUGACGCUCAUGCACGAAAGCGUGGGGAGCAAACAGG